CCUGAACUCCCACAUGGUGACCGCUCAGCAGAGGCUCUCCACCAGAUGAAGGUUCUUUAAAAAAUAAAUCUAGAAAAGGUCAGACAUGCCAUAAACUUCUGGCGAGAGGCGCUGCGUGCAAAGAAGAACUCAUGGGACACUCCUGCCAGUAUGGAGCCCAUCACCGGGCCAAGCCAAUAAACCUGCAGUGGUUUUCCCAUUUACCCGUGAUGAUGGCUGGACCCAGAGAGCGUGCAGGGUUCAUACUGGCACCGGAGAAGCGCCCCUGACAGCAAAACAGCACAAAUGAAGUCAAGAGUUAUUUAAGUGCAUCUCAAGGAAACUACAGAGGUCUGACAAAAGCUUUUCUUACCGCUAUUAGCACUCCAGCAGUGUGGGCUAAUCCUAUGGCGAGGUUUCCUGGUUCUGUGCUUUCCCUCCGUCGCUGAUCCUCCAC